rnacentral:rRNA from 1 species
UCCGUAGGUGAACCUGCGGAGGGAUCAUUACCGAGUUUACAACUCCCAAACCCAAUGUGAACCAUACCAAACUGUUGCCUCGGCGGGGUCACGCCCCGGGUGCGUCGCAGCCCCGGAACCAGGCGCCCGCCGGAGGGACCAACCAAACUCUUUUCUGUAGUCCCCUCGCGGACGUUAUUUCUUACAGCUCUGAGCAAAAAUUCAAAAUGAAUCAAAACUUUCAACAACGGAUCUCUUGGUUCUGGCAUCGAUGAAGAACGCAGCGAAAUGCGAUAAGUAAUGUGAAUUGCAGAAUUCAGUGAACCAUCGAAUCUUUGAACGCACAUUGCGCCCGCCAGUAUUCUGGCGGGCAUGCCUGUCCGAGCGUCAUUUCAACCCUCGAACCCCUCCGGGGGGUCGGCGUUGGGGACCUCGGGAGCCCCUAAGACGGGAUCCCGGCCCCGAAAUACAGCGGCGGUCUCGCCGCAGCCUCUCCUGCGCAGUAGUUUGCACAACUCGCACCGGGAGCGCGGCGCGUCCACGUCCGUAAAACACCCAACUUCUGAAAUGUUGACCUCGGAUCAGGUAGGAAUACCCGCUGAACUUAAGCAUAUCAAUAAGCGGAGGA